AUGGGGCUCAGUGGGGUCUAUGGGGUCUCUGUGGGGCACAGUGGGGUCUAUGGGGUCUCUGUGGGGCACACAGGGGUCUAUGGGGGCCCUAUGGGGUUGCCAUGGGGCACAGAAGGAUCUGGGGGAUCUCUGUGGGGUCCGUCUGGGUUGCUGUGGGUCACGGGGGGGGUUUAUGGGGUCGCUGUGGGUCCCGCUAUGGGUCGCUGUGGGUCACAGGCGCCACCCGCAACCUGUACCACCUGAAGGUCGUCGAGUACGAGCGGCAGCAUCAGUGCCGGGGGGGGGCAGGUGGGUGCCCCAUAGCUGCCCCAUAACCACCCCCAAACCGCCCUAUAGCUGCCCCAUAACCCCACGGCCACGUGACCCCCGUGUGCCCCAUAUCUGCCCCAUAACUGUGCCAUAACCCCAUG
rnacentral:lncRNA from 1 species